AGUGAACGCUGGCGGUAGGCCUAACACAUGCAAGUCGAACGGCAGCACAGUAAGAGCUUGCUCUUACGGGUGGCGAGUGGCGGACGGGUGAGGAAUACAUCGGAAUCUACUUUUUCGUGGGGGAUAACGUAGGGAAACUUACGCUAAUACCGCAUACGACCUACGGGUGAAAGCAGGGGAUCUUCGGACCUUGCGCGAUUGAAUGAGCCGAUUUCGGAUUAGCUAGUUGGCGGGGUAAAGGCCCACCAAGGCGACGAUCCGUAGCUGGUCUGAGAGGAUGAUCAGCCGCACUGGAACUGAGACACGGUCCAGACGCCUACGGGAGGCAGAAGUGGGGAAUAUUGGAAAAUGGGCGCAAGCCUGAUCCAGCCAUACCGCGUGGGUGAAGAAGGCCUUCGGGUUGUAAAGCCCUUUUGUUGGGAAAGAAAAGCAGCAGGUUAAUACCCCGCCGUUCUGACGGUACCCAAAGAAUAAGCACCGGCUAGCUUCGU
rnacentral:rRNA from 1 species